ACGACCUUACUUGAACAGGAUCUGUUCUAUAGGAAUCGUACCGUUGCAUCCUUGACUAAUAAGGAGGCAAGCACUCAAGCUUGGUUGAUGACAACAGACCUGAUCAGAGUUUGAUGAUCCUACGGCCGUAGAGGAUCGUUCCUGUUAAGCUCUUGCCGACCAGGGUGGCUCUCAGGUUGUCUGACAGGCU
rnacentral:snoRNA from 1 species